rnacentral:lncRNA from 1 species
GAGGUGAGGAUCCAUGCUUACCUCUUGAAGAACUAGAGGAUUGAUGAUCCAAGCUUGGAGAUGGGGGAAAACUCACUCAAAAUCUCCAAGUACUCAACUUUGCUUCCUUUUGCUCAAAACUCUAAAACAAAACUCAAAUCAAGUUAAAACAUGCAAGAUUUGAGGAAAACAUGAGAAAUCACACCAAGGAGAACUUGAACCUACCUUUGACCCAAAAACAGAGUGUUUAACACUCAAGUCUCGGGCAAAGGGGCUUUUGUAGUGGCCAACCGACUCUCCUUCGGCGGCCUAACGUGCAUG